CCUACGGGUGGCAGCAGUGAGGAAUAUUGGUCAAUGGACGGAAGUCUGAACCAGCCAUGCCGCGUGCAGGAAGACGGCUCUAUGAUUUGUAAACUGCUUUUGUACAAGGGUAAAUCUGAAUACGUGUAUUCCGCUGAACGUACUGUACGAAUAAGGAUCGGCUAACUCCGUGCCAGCAGCCGCGGUAAUCCGUAGGGGCCGAGCGUUAUCCGGAAUUAGUGGGGGGAAAGAGAGCCUAGGUGGCACUACAAGUUUCAAGUGAAAUACCCGGGCUUAACUUGGGGGUUGCAUGGAAUACUGUAGGGCUGGAGUGCAGGAGAGGCAAGCGGAAUUCCUAGUGUAGCGGUGAAAUGCAUAGAUAUUAGGAGGAACACCAGUGGCGAAGGCGGCUUGCUGGACUGAAACUGACGUUGAGGCCCGAAAGCGUGGGGAGCAAACAGGAUUAGAUACCCGAGUAGUC
rnacentral:rRNA from 1 species